GAACGAUGACACUUAAAUGAUCCUUCGGCAAUGAACUUAAGCUGGAUUAGUGGCGAACCGGGUGAGUAACACGUGAGUAACCUGCCUUACACAAGGGGAUAGCCUCUGGAAACGGAGAAUAAUACCCUAUAAAGUCUAAUCAGCCCAUGCUGGAAAGACCAAAGAUUUAUCGGUGUAAGAUGGACUUGCGUCUGAUUAGCUAUUGGUGAGAUAAAAGCUCACCAAGGCGACGAUCAGUAGCCGGCUUGAGAGAGUGUACGGCCACAUUGGGACUGAGACACGGCCCAAACUCCUACGGGAGGCAGCAGUGGGGAAUUUUGCACAAUGGGGGAAACCCUGAUGCAGCGACGCCGCGUGAUUUAGAAGGCCUUCGGGUUGUAAAAAUCUUUUUUACGGGAUGAAAAUGACAGUACCGUAAGAAUAAGGUCCGGCUAAAUACGUGCCAGCAGCCGCGGUAAUACGUAUGGACCGAGCGUUGUCCGGAAUCAUUGGGCGUAAAGGGUACGUAGGCGGCCUAGUAAGUUAGAAGUUAAAGAAUAUAGCUCAACUAUAUAAAGCUUUUAAAACUGCUAGGCUUGAGAGAUGGAAGGGAAAGUGGAAUUCCUAGUGUAGCGGUGAAAUGCGCAGAUAUUAGGAAGAAUACCGGUGGCGAAGGCGACUUUCUGGUCAUCAUCUGACGCUGAGGUACGAAAGCGUGGGUAGCAAACAGGAUUAGAUACCCUGGUAGUCCACGCUGUAAACGAUGAGUGUUAGGUUCUUGGAAUAAUCUGGGAGCCGCAGCUAACGCAUUAAACACUCCGCCUGGGGAGUACG
rnacentral:rRNA from 1 species